rnacentral:rRNA from 1 species
CAGCAGCCGCGGUAAUACGUAAGUGGCAAGCGUUGUCCGGAAUUAUUGGGCGUAAAGGGCCCGCAGGCGGUUUCUUAAGUCUGAUGUGAAAGCCCCCGGCCCAACCGGGGAGGGUCAUUGGAAACUGGGAAACUUGAGUGCAGAAGAGGAGAGUGGAAUUCCACGUGUAGCGGUGAAAUGCGUAGAGAUGUGGAGGAACACCAGUGGCGAAGGCGACUCUCUGGUCUGUAACUGACGCUGAGGAGCGAAAGCGUGGGGAGCGAACAGGAUUAGAUACCCCGGUAGUCCCUGUCUCUUAUAC